rnacentral:rRNA from 1 species
AGUCGAACGGCAGCACGGGUGCUUGCACCUGGUGGCGAGUGGCGAACGGGUGAGUAAUACAUCGGAACAUGUCCUGUAGUGGGGGAUAGCCCGGCGAAAGCCGGAUUAAUACCGCAUACGAUCUACGGAUGAAAGCGGGGGACCUUCGGGCCUCGCGCUAUAGGGUUGGCCGAUGGCUGAUUAGCUAGUUGGUGGGGUAAAGGCCUACCAAGGCGACGAUCAGUAGCUGGUCUGAGAGGACGACCAGCCACACUGGGACUGAGACACGGCCCAGACUCCUACGGGAGGCAGCAGUGGGGAAUUUUGGACAAUGGGCGAAAGCCUGAUCCAGCAAUGCCGCGUGUGUGAAGAAGGCCUUCGGGUUGUAAAGCACUUUUGUCCGGAAAGAAAUCCUUGGCUCUAAUACAGUCGGGGGAUGACGGUACCGGAAGAAUAAGCACCGGCUAACUACGUGCCAGCAGCCGCGGUAAUACGUAGGGUGCAAGCGUUAAUCGGAAUUACUGGGCGUAAAGCGUGCGCAGGCGGUCUGUUAAGACAGAUGUGAAAUCCCCGGGCUCAACCUGGGAACUGCAUUUGUGACUGGCAGGCUAGAGUAUGGCAGAGGGGGGUAGAAUUCCACGUGUAGCAGUGAAAUGCGUAGAGAUGUGGAGGAAUACCGAUGGCGAAGGCAGCCCCCUGGGCCAAUACUGACGCUCAUGCAC